GUAUGUGUAGGAAAGGUAAAGGAUGGAUUUACAGCAAACAUAGGUCAGGAGAUCCUAGGAGGGAAUGACAUUGUCACCAGGGAAGAUCUUCUAAUCUUUCUAUUUGGAUUUCUGGCAUGUUUUCAUUCCUAGGAGAGGUAGACUCAAGGGCCUAUUUUAGUUCCAUUCUCCUUGCUCUUACAAGCAAGUUAAGAAAGCAUUUACAGGCCACUAUGGAUUUUGUACCUCACCCUGACCUCCCUCCUCUCCUUCGCAUUUAGCGAUACUUACAGUUUGCUAAACACACCAUGCUGUUUCUGCACAUGCUGUUCUCUCUGCCUGGAAUCCACUACCCCACCCACAGUCCUCUUUCUUUAAGCGCCUCCUGUGUGAAAACUUUCCUCCCACCCCUCCGCAUGAGCAGAGUUUAUCUCUGUCUCCUCUGGUCCCUGCUCUUCCUAGGACAUAGCUUCACUAUUUCUCUUUUCACACCGUAUGGCAGUUACUGCUCAUACGGCCAGCUCCCCUGCUGCAGUAUUGAGCUGCUUAGUAACAGGGAUCCUGUGUUAUUGAGCUUUUUAUCCCCAGGGCCUAGCAUCCUCCCUUUUACGCUAUAUUUUCUCUUUAAAAUAGGCUGCCCACACCCAUGCAGCCUUCAGCUGUAGGCAAAGAAGCAAGGCAAGGCCAGGGUGGGGAGGGUGGAUGUAGAAUAUGCCAAAGACGAGGAAACAGACACUAGUUGACACAAAAUCCUAAUUCCAUUCAUUUGUAGAUCUUCGCUUGACCUAGUACAGUUUUUAGAAAGUAAACCAUCCAAGACACAAAGGCUCCAAGUACUUGGAAGGCAGGGGUUCAGGGAUGAUAACAAAGCUCCUGGCACCUCUCCUUCCCCUUCCUCUGUGAACCUCUUCUGCUCCUUUUUUUGGUCUCCUGGCCUGGUCUGGAAUCUCCGGAGUUGUCGUCAACAGCUAGCUAUUUCAUGUGUGCUCUGUUCUGAAUACAACACUAGUCACUUCCACUAAUUAAUUGAAUUGUACUUCAUAGACUUGGAGUCAGGUCGCUUAAAUACAAGAUGCAAAUUUAUGCAACAUAUGCAAAUCACUCAUGUUCUCAAAUUCCAUGAACAAAAUCUGGUAGCCUUGAGAUAAAAAAGCCCCUGCCAAGCAUCAUCUCUUCUAAUUAUUGCUUAAUUUUCCCCCCUUUAACAUUGAACUCACACUUUCAGGCUUGGCAGAAACUAGCAGACAUACAAUGAGAGUCAGUUAUAAACAGGAAGUUCCUUAAGGGCAAAGACCCUGUAAUCUAUUUAUUUUAUGUUCUCCAGUGGCUCGUAAUAUACUAUGAAGUGCACAUAGUCUUGCACAGUGCACUCUAACACCAGCCCUGAUUACUAAAUUAGGGAUGAUGCAGAUGAACAAAAGUCAGGAGCUCUGUAAGCCUUGCCAAGCAUGGCAGUUAAGUCUAGGAAUGAGAAGAUGGUGAGUUGCAUUGUCUAUGUGUAUCACUAUAGAAAAUCAAGUUAAUUAAACUUAAAUAAAAUGUUCAAGUUCAGUUCUUAGAAUAGCCACAUUUCAAGGCUCUAGUAGCUAUGUGUGUCUAAUGACUUUCUUAUUGGACAGCACAGAUAUAGAACAUUUCCAUCAUCACAGACAUUUCAGUUUAGACAAUACUGAUCCAGAUCUUUGCUCCUCAAAGCAUGGUCCUGGACCAGCAGUAUAACAUCAUCUGGGAGUUUAUUGGAAAGGCAGGAUCUCAGCCCUACCCCAGGUCCACCGCAUCAAAAUCUGCAUUUUUUUUUUUUUUUCUUUUUAAGCCUGCAUUCUCAGCAUAUGGAAGUGCCCAGGCUAGGGGUCGAAUUGGAGCUGUAAUUGCCAGCCUACACCACAGCUACAGUCAUGCCAGAUCUGAGCUGAGUCUGUGACCUACACCACAGCUCAUGGCAGCAAUGGAUCCCUAACCCAUUGAGGGAGGCCAGGGAUUGAACCCUCAUUUUCAUGGAUGGCAGUCAGAUUCAUUUCCGCUGCACCACAAUGGGAACUCCAAAAUCUGCAUUUUAACAAGAUCCCCAAAUCAUUCAUAUGUAUAUCAGAGUGUGAGGUAAUGGUCUACAUCUAGAAUGGAAACCAGUGGUUCUCAGACUGGCAGGGCUAUGCUUCCUCUGAAAACUUCCUUACGGGUGGAAGAAUCCUUCCCUGCCUCUUCCUAGCUUCCAGUGGUUUGCUAGCAAUCUUUGGUGAUUCUUGGCUUGAAGCUGCAUAACUCCAAAUUCCAUCUCUGUCAUCAUAUGGCAUUUUCCUCUGGUGUAACUGCGUCUCAGUGUCUGUUUCUUCUUCUAAGGACACCAGUCAUAUUGCAUUAAGGGCCCUUCCUAUUCCAGUAUGACCUCUUCUUACCUUAGCUAAUUCCAUCUGCAGUGAUCCUGUUUUUUACAUUCUGAAGUACUAGGGAGUUGAGACUUCAACAUAUCUCUUUGGAGGAACACAAUUCAAUCCAUAACAGGCGGUCUAGGGUAAGACCUGAUAAUAUGCAUUUCUAACAGCUUCCCAGGUGAUGCUGAUGCUGCUCUAGGGACCACGCUUUGAAAACCACAGGUCUAAAAUACCUACAAAACAGGAUGACAUAGAACUAAAAGUUGGAUUACAUUAUGGAAAUAACUGUGUUCGACUUUCCAAAUGUGCAGAAUUCCAUUUUAAAGCACACUUGAAAAUUGUCAUCCAGCCUGCGCGUGAAUACUUCCAAUGACAGGGUUCUCAUUACUAGCGGAACAGCCUUCUCCACAGCUAUGCCUGUGAAAAUUCACACCCUUUGAACUUUCUGAAUAUCUGAUGUAUCUAGAUAUAUCUAGAUAGCUGAUGGCAGCUGAGUGUCUCAAUAUUGAACUCUACAUUUCCUCUGUGUGACAGAGGUCUCAGCAUCCUCUAGAUUCUGGCUUGCUCCCGAGGACGCACUUGUUGAAGUUUUUAGGGGUGAUGAUCAUGCAUUGCACUGGUUAUGAAUUAACUAGAAAUAGACAUAAGGAUGCAACAGAUGAAGAUGAAAUGGUCAGCUUUAUUUCCAGUAAACAUAAACAGUGGAGAGUAGAACCUGGACCUUGACCAUAAUCAGCCUUCCUGCUAAGCCCCAUCUAAGUGAAUUCAUCUGAAGCAAUCAGGUACAGAGGAGCAGGACAAUUGAAUCUACACUACCGGACAGGGUUUUGAGGGUAAGAGUUACAGCCAUUACCACAUAAAGAAAGGCAUAACAACUAGAAGAGGACUGGUUUUCCUGAAAGAGAAAGGAAAGCACCUAGCUUCUCUUCCCCUAGACCUACCCACACAAUAAGACCUUCCUUCUCCAACCAGAUUUAACACAUAUUUAACAUUCAUUUCCACUAUUUCCCUCCUUUCAAAAAGAACACCUGAUGUUAUUUACAGAAAUUUUCUCCUCUUUCGUGUGGCCUAAACAUCUCAGGAAGCUGAUCCUAUUCUCAAGUCAAGCCAGUCAUGGUAGCUCUAAUCCCCUUACAAAUGAUUGGUUCCAAAAUGUAAGCUUAAGCCAAUCAGUUCAUGGCACUAUUCUAGAGCCUGCUUUUGGACCAACAUGGGUGCAUGAUACAAACUAGCUUAAAACUAGCCUGAACAACAGCAAAAAAGUCAACAACCCAAUGGAAAAAUGGGCAAAAGACCUGAAAAGACAUUUCUCCAAAGAAGAUACAAAGACAGCCAACAAGCACAUGAAAAAAUGCUCAACAUCACUGAUUAUUAGAGAAAUGCAAACAGAAACUACUAUGAGGUACCACCUUGCACUAAUCAGAAAGGCCAUCAUUAAUAAGUCCACAAAUAAUAAAUACUGGAGAAGCUGUGGAGAACAGGGAACCCUCCUACAUUGUUGAUGGUAAUAUAAAUUGGUACAACCACUAUGGAGAACAGUAUGGAGGAACCUUAGAAAUCUAUACCUAGAACUACCAUAUGACCCAGCAAUCCCACUCUUGGGCAUACAUCUGGACAAAGAUUUCCUUGAAAAAACACAUGCUCCCGUAUAGUCACUGCAGCACUAUUCACAAUAGCCAAGAUAUGGAAACAACCUAAAUGUCCAUCAACAGAUGAAUGGAUUAAGAAGAUGUGGUAUAUAUAUAUAUAUAUACCCAAUGGAAUACUACUCAGCCAUAAAAAAAGAAAAUAAUGCCAUUUGCAGUGAUAUGGAUGGAAUUAGAGACUCUCAUACUAAGUGAAAUAAGUCAGAAAGAGAAAGACAGGAGUUCCCAUGGUGGCACAGCAGAAACGAAUCUGACUAGAAACCAUGAGGUUAUGGGUUUGAUCCCUGGCCUCACUCAGUGGGUUAAGGACCCAGCAUGGCCAUGAGCUGUGGUAUAGGUCUCAUAUGCUGCUCAGAUCUGGUGUUGCUGUGUCUGUGACAUAGGCAGCAGCUGCAGCUCUGAUAAGACCCCUAGCCUGGGAACCUCCAUAUGCUUCA
rnacentral:lncRNA from 1 species